UGAUAUCACAGACAGACAAACAUGCUUUUCUAUUAAACAUGAUAGUUUUUAUUUAUUUAUUUUCUUUUUCCAGUUUUGGAUAUGAAGAUAUAGGGAGGUUCAAGACCUCCUUAACAGCUAUGAAAAGCAGAAUACUUUUUUGUUUUUUAUUUUUAUUUAUUUUUCGUAGUUUCAAGCUUUCUUUGAAUUAUCAUUGACUACAAAAAACGUUUCGGCCAAAAAAAGGGCGCCCCAUCAGGAAGUAAGGGCGCACAGCUUAAAAAGCACAUUGAUCCAACUUUGGGUAGUGGAAAUUUGAGGGAAGCCGUUUGCCUACCCCCUGGAGAAGAUCUUAACGAAUGGCUAGCAAUUAAUGCUGUUGAUUUCUUUAAUCAAGUGAACAUUCUUUAUGGUACUCUUACUGAGUUCUGCACGCCGUCAACAUGCCCAACAAUGACAGCCGGAACAAAAUACGAGUAUAGGUGGGCUGAUGGAGUGUCUAUCUAGAAACCGAUAGA
rnacentral:lncRNA from 1 species